UAAGAUGUAAAGCUGGAUACAGGGUAAAU
rnacentral:piRNA from 1 species